GAUGAACGCUAGCUACAGGCUUAACACAUGCAAGUCGAGGGGAAACGGCAUUAAGUGCUUGCACUUUUUGGACAUCGACCGGCGCACGGGUGAGUAACGCGUAUCCAACCUUCCCAUGACUAAGGGAUAACCUGCCGAAAGGCAGACUAAUACCUUAUUGUCUUCACUGACGGCAUCAGAUGUGAAGUAAAGAUUUAUCGGUUAUGGAUGGGGAUGCGUCUGAUUAGCUUGUUGGCGGGGUAACGGCCCACCAAGGCAACGAUCAGUAGGGGUUCUGAGAGGAAGGUCCCCCACAUUGGAACUGAGACACGGUCCAAACUCCUACGGGAGGCAGCAGUGAGGAAUAUUGGUCAAUGGGCGAGAGCCUGAACCAGCCAAGUAGCGUGCAGGAUGACGGCCCUAUGGGUUGUAAACUGCUUUUGUAUGGGGAUAAAGUCAAUCACGUGUGAUUGUUUGCAGGUACCAUACGAAUAAGGACCGGCUAAUUCCGUG
rnacentral:rRNA from 1 species